rnacentral:rRNA from 1 species
AACGAACGCUGGCGGCAUGCCUAACACAUGCAAGUCGAACGAGAGCUUCGGGUCUAUUGGCGCACGGGUGCGUAACGCGUGGGAACCUGCCCUUAGGGUCGGAAUAACUCCCCGAAAGGGGUGCUAAUACCGGAUAAUGUCUUCGGCCCAAAGAUUUAUCGCCUUUGGAUGGGCCCGCGUUGGAUUAGCUAGUUGGUAGGGUAAAAGCCUACCAAGGCGACGAUCCAUAGCUGGUCUGAGAGGAUGAUCAGCCACACUGGGACUGAGACACGGCCCAGACUCCUACGGGAGGCAGCAGUGGGGAAUAUUGGACAGUGGGCGAAAGCCUGAUCCAGCAAUGCCGCGUGAGUGAUGAAGGCCUUAGGGUUGUAAAGCUCUUUUAACCGGGAUGAUAAUGACAGUACCGGGAGAAUAAGCCACGGCUAACUCCGUG